AUUAUCGAUCAUGACCUCAAUUUUUUUUUUAGCAAUCUUCUAAGUUCUUUGAAACAAUCACUAAAAAUAUUGUAACUAAAAAAUUAUAAUUUAAAUUCAUCAAACAUGCUCAAAGCAAUUAAGGGGGAAAAAAUGGGUAACCAAAUUUGACCUGAAUAAGCUGUUUCUAGGGCUCCAUCAAUUGUAAUUUCAAUUUGGGACUCAUCAAUUCUUCUUGAAAUUACGUACCAAGUACCUUGUCAUCCACAAAAGAAGCCAAAAAUCCUCAUUCUGCAGGUAAUUCAUAGUAUUUAUGAAUGACAUUCUUCAUGGUGCAGGCAUUGCCUACUUCAGUAUUAUAAUACAGGACCAAAUGGCAUUUAUCAAGAAACUUAGUCAUCGGACCACAAGUCAUUCGUCUUGUAUUUUGUUUAGCUUUAUUGAUAAAAUUUCAAAAUGUCCUCAUGACACUGCCUGGAGCCUUAAGCCUUUCACUCAAGUUAACUGCCAAAGCAGUGUCUCAAAGUUUCAGCAUGAAUUUAAAUGUUCUAAACACUGUUUUUCGACUAUGGCUCGCACGAUUUUGGUGCAGGCUCGAGACACCGGUAAACUGUGUGAGGAGUUAGAAACUGCAAUUGAUGAGCACAGGCUUGAUGAUGCGUGGAAUUUGCAUGAGCAGCAUAUGCAAAUGGAAGGCUUUCCUAGGAAAUAUAUUGUGAACAAGUUUUUAACUGCUUUAACUUGGAGUUUGGAUUGCCAAUGGAUUGAAAAAGGAUAUGGGUUGGUUGAGAAAGCCCUUGAGGAGCAUAAGCAGAACUUAUUUGACAAAGAGACUCUGUUGUAUCUUUCUCUAGGACUUGCUAAGUGUGGAUUGCCAAUUCCUGCAUCUACUCUUUUAAGAAAGCUUAUUGAGAUGGAACAGUUCCCGCCCGUGACUGCAUGGUCAGCAAUUUUAGCUCAUAUGACUGAAAAUUCAUCAGGAGCUUACCUCGCGGCUGAGUUGGUUCUUGAGAUAGGUUACUUGUUCCAGGAUGGAAGAAUUGAUCCUCGGAAAAAGAGUAAUGAACCUUUGAUUGCUAUGAAGCCUAACACAACUGCAUGUAACAUUGCUUUGGCUGGAUGCCUUCUGUUUGGUACUACCAGGAAAGCAGAGCAGGUCCUUGACAUGAUGCCUAGGAUUAAUGUGAAAACUGACACAACAUUAUUGAUUAUCAUGGCCCAUAUUUAUGAACGAAAUGGACGAAGGGAGGAGCUUAAAAAGCUCAAGAGACACAUCGAUGAAGUUCAGAAUUUAAGUGAUCUUCAGUUUCGACAGUUCUACAAUUGUUUGUUUUCUUGUCAUUUGAAAUUUAUGGAUCUAGACUCUGCAUCACACAUGGUUCUGGAAAUGCUCGAGAAAGCAAAGAAAGCUCAAAAUUCACGGAGUUUAGCUAAUUUAUCAUUUGAAACUGAUAAGAAAGUCCGCACCUCACCUCAUCAACAUGUUUCUGGAGAGGAGUUGAAUCAUAUUAAUUUCGAUGGAUUGGAAAAUCCUCCAUUAUUUCCAAGGCAUUUUUUAUCUUAUGAAACUUUCUAUAGGGACAGGAAGUUCUCAAGACUUGAAAAUGAGGCCAAAGAAUUACUGGAUAUGUUGAUUAUGAAGUUGCUUAGGCAAGUUGAGUUGAUUACAACUGAACGAGGUGUUCUCCAGCCAACGGAGAGUGCAUACGUGAAAUUAAUAAAGGCUUUCUUGGAAGCUGGUCGGAUAAGAGAUUUGGCAGAAUUUCUAAUCAAGGUAGAGAAAAAGGAUUCCCCAGUUUCUUCUGAUAGUUCAGCCUUGAUGGAUGUCAUCAACACAUGCAUUUCGCUUGGUAGGUUAGAUCAGGCACACGACCUUCUAGAUGAAAUGCAUUUGGCUGGAGUUAGAACUAGUUCCUCCAUGUAUGCUUCUCUUCUAAAAGCAUAUUGUAAAGAGAAUAAAGCAGGAGAGGUUACAUCAUUACUCAGAGAUGCUCGUAAGGCAGGCAUUCAGCUUGAUGCAAGCUGUUACGAGGCAUUGAUUCAAUUCCGGGUUCUUGAAAAGGAUACACAAGGGGCUCUCAAUCUGUUCAAAGAGAUGAAAGAGGCUAAAAUCCCCAGGGGUGGUCAUCAAGAAUUUGAUAUGCUGGUGAAUGGUUGUACGAAAGGUGAUGAAGCUUAUUUAAUGGCUAAGUUGCUGCAGGAAAUACAAGAAGGGCAAAACGUGGAUUCUGGAGUUCGUGACUGGAAUAAUGUGAUUCACUUUUUCUGCAAGAAGAGGCUGAUGCAAGAUGCUGAGAAGGCUCUCAAGAAGAUGAGGAGUUUGGGGCAUGCUCCAAAUGCACAAACUUUCCAUUCUAUGAUCACGGGGUAUGCUGCCAUUGGGGGUAAAUACAUUGAGGUGACUGAAUUGUGGGGUGAGAUGAAGGCUAUUGCCUUUACCAGUGGAAUGAAGUUUGAUCAGGAAUUAUUGGAUGCUGUGCUUUAUACAUUCGUGAGAGGUGGCUUCUUUGCUCGAGCAAAUGAAGUUGUGGGGUUAAUGGAGAAAGGGAAGAUGUUCAUCGACAAAUACAAGUACCGCAUGCUCUUUUUGAAGUACCAUAAAACACUUUACAAAGGCAAGGCACCAAAAUUCCAGACAGAAUCUCAGUUGAAAAAGAGAGAGUCAGCAUUGACUUUUAAGAAAUGGGUGGGUUUAUAAUGAAGAAGGAUUUUCUUUUCUUCCAGUCUAGCCUAAUAUAAGGCACCGAAUUGCAAAAUAGAAUACAACAAACUAGACUGAUAUAGAAUAAAUUGCGAUCUACUGCAUGAACCUUUUGCCGCCAUAUUGUUUUGAUACAUCGAUGCAACUCAAGCAGCCAUGGGCCACUUCUAGUAUUUUUAUGCAUUUCGGCUUCUUUAUGGCAAGGAUUCCAGGUCCACAAUUGUACAUUCUCCUCAACCUGUUCCAAUGACUGACAGGAAAAUAUAGUUAUGUACGUAUUUUGCUCCAGAAAAGAAGAUUCUCUUAGGCCUUAGCCAUGUGGAGUUUUCUUUCAUUGCAUGGAGGUUAGAGGCGAAAUAGUUAGGGCAUUCAGUCGUCCAUCUCUUGUUUGUGAACUCUGGUGAUCAUUGAAGCAGGUUAUCCUACUCAAGCACCCACACCAGCGAGAAUCUGUCUUGAAUAGAGGUUUAUUAAGCCUUAAUUUGCAUUCUUUAUAAUGGUGGGUAAUAGUCGCAGCACAGGACCACAACCAUGCAACUUUUGCAAAUUAGAAGGUUUCAGGAAAGAGCUGCAAUGAGAUGAAAAGACUGCAUUAUACUUACCUUUGACUCCAAGAGGAAGUGCAAGUUCACAUGAUCCUAUUGGGAGUUGAAGCUUUUCUCUCAGGGAAUUCAUGUUUG